rnacentral:rRNA from 1 species
AUACGGGAGGCUGCAGUAGGGAAUCUUCCACAAUGGGCGCAAGCCUGAUGGAGCAACGCCGCGUGUGUGAUGAAGGCUUUCGGGUCGUAAAGCACUGUUGUAUGGGAAGAACACUUAGGUUAGGAAAUGGACUUAAGAUGACGGUACCAUACCAGAAAGGGACGGCUAAAUACGUGCCAGCAGCCGCGGUAAUACGUAUGUCCCGAGCGUUAUCCGGAUUUAUUGGGCGUAAAGCGAGCGCAGACGGUUCAUUAAGUCUGAAGUGAAAGCCCACAGCUCAACUGUGGAAUGGCUUUGGAAACUGAUGGGCUUGAGUGCAGUAGAGGCAAGUGGAACUCCAUGUGUAGCGGUGGAAUGCGUANAUAUAUGGAAGAACACCAGUGGCGAANGCGGCUUGCUGGACUGUAACUGACGUUGAGGCUCGAAAGUGUGGGUAGCAAACAGGAUUAGAUACCCUGGUAGUCCACACCGUAAACGAUGAAUACUANGUGUUAGGANGUUUCCNCCCUUNANUGCCNAANCAAACGCAUUAAGUAUUCCNCCUGGGGAGUACNACCNCNAGGUUGAAACUCAAAGGAAUUGACGGGGNACCCCACAAGCGGUG